UAGGGAAUCUUGCACAAUGGAGGAAACUCUGAUGCAGCGAUGCCGCGUGAGUGAAGAAGGCCCUUGGGUUGUAAAGCUCUUUCGUCGGGGAAGAAAAUGACUGUACCCGAAUAAGAAGGCUCCGGCUAACUAGGUGCCAGCAGCCGCGGUAAUACGAAGGGACCUAGCGUAGUUCGGAAUUACUGGGCUUAAAGAGUUCGUAGGUGGUUGAAAAAGUUGGUGGUGAAAUCCCAGAGCUUAACUCUGGAACUGCCAUCAAAACUUUUCAGCUAGAGUUUGAUAGAGGAAAGCAGAAUUUCUAGUGUAGAGGUGAAAUUCGUAGAUAUUAGAAAGAAUACCAAUUGCGAAGGCAGCUUUCUGGAUCAUUACUGACACUGAGGAACGAAAGCAUGGGUAGCGAAAGGG
rnacentral:rRNA from 1 species